rnacentral:sRNA from 2 species
UAUCUCUCCGUACGGGGAAGGAUGAGAAGCUUCGACUAAGGUUCGAUUCGAGCGCAGCGAGAAAGCGUUGCCGCAGG